rnacentral:tRNA from 4 species
GGGGCCGUCGCCCAGUGGCAGGGCGUCCCGUCCGCAACGGGAAGGUCGCGGGUUCGAACCCCGCCGGCUCCACGA